UGCUGACCAAACAAAACACUUUUAAAUUUACUUAGAAUUUGGUCAGGGGAAGGAAGCCAAAGGCAAUGAGAUAGCAAAGCAAAAAGCUGCAGCCAAGGCAAGUCCUUAAAGGCUCCUUAGGAGACUGUGCGUCUAAAUGAGACAGCAUCUGAGGAAAACUGACUAACUAGAAACCCUGACCUCUCAUUAAGUAAACUAAACAGGAAGACAAGUCAUAGGGGACAGUUCAUUUGAAAAAGAGAAAAGGACAAAAUGAAGAAACAGAAAAAGGUUCUGACCAUUGGCUUGAAAAUGUUGAUGAAACAACGGAUUUCAAUUCUUCUCAAAGCUGCUGCCACCCUUUCCUGUCAGUACACAUAAGAGUUAUUUAUAAUAAUUCAAUUUCAAGGUUUUUUUUGAGCUUUGUAAUACAAAAGUAUGUAAGAACCUAAUUUACAAUUUCUUAAACUUAAUUACAUUUAAAGACAUAACAGUUGCAGCAGAAUAAAAUCAUUCCCAUAGUGGGAUAAUUCUGGGGAAGAGGUAUUCAA